rnacentral:lncRNA from 1 species
AUUCAGGUGGGCCUAGUGGAAUCAGGUGCGUUCCUAAAAGUGAAAGAGGGAAGCAGAGAUGUAGUCCGUCAAAGAUGUGACUGUGGAGGAAAGGCACAAAGAAUGCAACAUUACUGGCUUUAAAGAUGGAAGUGGGGCCGUGAGAUAAGGAAUGCAGGUAGCCUCUUGAAGCUGGAAAAGCAUUUAAUGAAGAGGCUUCAAGAAGAAACAGAGUAAAAUCUCCAUGACAACACAUGAAAGAUUUUGUCCUAUCAAUUUAAAGCAGACCAUCAGUGAUUGUUCAGCAGAUCAUAAGUGAUUAUAGAAGAUUAGCCCUGAGCUAACUGCUGCCAAUCCUCCUCUUUUUUUGCUGAGGAAGUCUGGCCCUGAGCCAACAUCCAUGCCCAUCUUCCUCUACUCUACAUGUGGGACACCUACCACAGCAUGGCUUCCCAAGCAGUGCCAUGUCCACCCCCGAGAUCUGAACCUGCCAUCCCUGGGCCACCGAUGCAGAACAUGCGAACUUAGCUGUUGUGCCACUGGGCCGGCCCCAUUGUGUUUUAAUGUUAUAUAAAAUUUAUGUUAUUUUUGCAAGCUAUAGAUCUGUUCAAAAUAGAGGCUUCUAUUCCUAAUUUUUUGGAAUAUUUUCUUCAUUCACUUACUUAUUCACUCAAUGACUUAGUGAAUAUUACAGAGUGCUUACCUAGUAUGUGCCAGAUACUUUUAUCAGAAUUUAAAAAUGAAUGUAUGACUCUAGAGAUGAUUUAAUUUUUUAAAUUGUUUCAUGUGAAAAUGAUAGGGCCAAUCUUUA